GUGUCUAUAGUCUUUUUAAACAGAUUAAAUGAUGCUAGCCAAUGCAAAUUUAAUUCGUCUGAGUUAUUUUUCAGCAGACCAUUUAUUGUACAUGGAUUGCGCAGCUUGAUCGAAAGAGUGAUUCGGAUCAAAUACUGCCUCCCAUACUUUUCAGCCAUCCUUGCAGAGGAGUUCCGCAGUCUUCUUUUAAGCCUGAAUUGGUCUCGUGCAAUGAGGUUGAUGUAAAAGAAGGUUUGCGUCACACAACCUGAGACUACAUCCACUGUCAACAGUGUCAGCAUCUGGAGGAUUUUCAUUUUUUUGCCUCCUCUGUCUUCGGAGAUGGUGGCACCAGGGCGUCGGAGUCAUUUUGUCACUUUAUAACGCUGACAGAGAGUCCGUAUCCAUCUGAUCCAUCAUGACAGAUAGUUUUCUUCAUGAUGCAGCAUUUGCAGAGGGAGAGAGCCUGAUACUCAGACGAGCACAGCAUAAAUAUAAAUCAAGAUCCAGGACUCAAGUUUCAUACACAAUUAGAGGUAUGUAUAAGGUUCAUGAAAAACACAAAUUUGCCUAAUUCUGAGGUGAGUAAAAUUAUGAGUAUAGGAAUGA